rnacentral:tRNA from 1 species
GGGGCUGGGGCUCAGUGGUAGAGCGCUCGCCUGGCAUGUGUGAGGCCCGGGGUUUGAUCCUCAGCGCCA